rnacentral:lncRNA from 1 species
AAACUCUGCCUGCUUUUAGAUGGCUCCUCUUAGAACUAUGCAUCUCUCCUGAUACUUGGAUGCUUUUCCUCUGACUGAUGAAGAUCCUGAAUACCAAAGAGGGCCGCUGACAGGUCUAGGAGUACACUUCUAGCACCUAGCAGAGAGAGGCUUCACUACAUCAUGCUUCCUGACAUCUCUCCCUUUGAAGAGCAGUCAGACUCCUGCUUUGCUCUUCAGACUUAAUUUGGGGGUUUAACAGCCAUGUGAAGUGCUCACUCCCCCUUUGCCUUCUGCCAUGAUUGUGUGUUUCCUGAGGCCUCCCCAGAAGCUGAGAAGAUGCUUCCUGUACAGCCUGCAGAACUGUUUGAAUGAGAGAGGCAGAAGCACAUUUCCAAUCACUGGGGGAACCUGAGACCAUUCUUUCCAACCCAUUUUGCCAAAUGGAUGUCCUGAGGAAGGUGUUCCAAGAGAGGCGAUGUCAGGAUAGUG